UAAUUUAGCCGACACAACGUUUAGUUUCACCGAAGUGAUCGCAAGUCCGCGGAACUGAAGUGCGCGCCCGCGCAGUGCAUCUGACAACCCUUACGCUAUGGGGCGCUUGCAUACGUUUGUGGUGACCCUGCGACGGGAUACGCGGGACUCGAACUGGGGUCUGCGACUUGUGGGCGGUUCCGACCUCGCGACGCCGCUCAUCGUCACAAGGGUGACACCUGGUACCCAGGCAGGUCGCGAGCUAGCCAGAGGUGAUAUCAUCGCGAAGAUUGACGAAUACGACGCACGCGAUUUGCGACAUGAAGAUGCGCAAAAUCUUUUCAAAAACGCACAAAAUCAAAUCAAACUAGUCGUACAAAGGAGCAGCAUGAGCCCACCUCAAUACAAACCGCAUUUACACCCAGGCAGUUACGUUAGACGAGUCCCUACGCCGUCAUAUCUGUUCCGUUACACAGACGUGGACCGUGAAGGACCGAGAAACACUCCCUUAGCGCCUCGAUCGCCUACUGUGUCGUACGCCGCGCAUCCGCCAUUCAGGACGCCAAGCCCAAAACCAGGUAAUGCAUGGCGCGGACCUGAAUCACUACCCCGCAGUACUCCAAUGCUUCAGACUCAGUUUCCCGUUCUACAAGAAGGAGAAUACGCUACAUUCAUGCCUUCUCCUGCAUCGUCACGGAACGAAGAUGUGAUUGACGAAUCUAUUGGCAGUCAGCCUUACCGAACCACUCCACUAGUGUUGCCAGGGGCGAAAGUCCGCCGGGAGCCCGGGCCUACAGAGAGCUAUCUGCGGCACCAUCCCAACCCGGCCAUGAGGGCGCCGCCCCACCACGACUACCGCGACACAAUUAUGAAACAGAAGGUGGCUGAAUCGGUGUUGCAACGAGUCGUCGGUGAUGAGGCGAAUAAGGUGGUUCACAAACAAUUCAACUCUCCGAUCAAUUUGUACUCAGAACAAAAUAUCGCUAAUUCGAUUAGGCAACAAACUUCGCCAUUGCCCUCUAACGGCCAUUACGGGCGAUCGCACGUUUUGAAGAGGCAAGUGUUUUACUAGAAACGACGCCAAAACAUUUGUCAACGCCCCGCAACAAUUCGCAUUAAUGCUUAUUUAUAUUUAUCUUGCUACUAUCUCGACUUUGUCACUCUAUCGUAUUCGGACUUCAAGCAUGAUGACGUCACACGUCAACUAAAACUUUUGUAAACGAAGUCGACUUCCUUUCCUUCACGCGUCAACCGCGUACUGUCACUAGUAGCUAAUAAUUAUUAGAUAUCUAUGUAUGUAAUCAAUAAUUUUACAUUUAGGUCUUAUUAAUAUUAGUAUUUACUCAUUCUCUUAUGGAUCGAACUAAAUUCAUGACAAAUACGUACACUAACGUGACGAGGCUCCUUGUUUGACUGUGUUGCCAGAGCUUAAAUUAUAAAUAAUAAAAAUGACGUAUUGUUGUUUAAAUUUUAAAAUUAAAAUAGUACGAAAAUUUUAAAAGUUUUAAAAUGCAAUACGUAUCAUUAAAAUUAAUUAAUUUUAAUAAGCUGUCAUCAAACUUCGGUGACUCAUUUGUGCUACUACAGCUAUCUAAUGGGAUCUGGUGAACUGCGUGUUUAAACCUAUUCUUGAAAUUAGGAUUAUAUAUCAAAACAUAAAAUUGGCGUAACUUGUAUGUGUCUCUGGCAACAUUGUAUGAUUGUGUAUUGCGCCCGCUAACCAACUAACUCGCGGUCGGGUGUCGUGCGUGCACAGUGCAGACAAGCCAGUGCCUGCCUACGACCCGUCCAGCUCCGAGACGUACAGAGCGUUGCAAGAGGAAGGCCUGGGUAACGCGAAGGAGGUCUCAGCACCACAGCCGAAGGUCUUCUCACAGCCAGCCUCUAAGCCGGUGCCUACAAAACCCACUACUCAGAACAACACCACAGCUACCGGAAAGCAAACUAC